rnacentral:rRNA from 1 species
CGCCAAAUAACUACGAGUCCAAAACUUAAAAUUUAAAAGACUUGACGGUACCUCACACCAACCUAGAGGAGCCUGUUCAAUAAGCCGAUACCCCACGAUCAACCCAACCCCCCCUAGCCACCAGUCUAUAUACCGCCGUCGCCAGCCUACCUUAUGAAAGAAACAAAGUAAGCUAAAUAGCCACACACUAAAACGACAGGUCGAGGUGUAACUAAUGGGCGGGACAGAAUGGGCUACAUUUUCUAACCAGAAUACACGGAUAAACAAUGAAAAAGAAACUGAAGGUGGAUUUAGCAGUACACUAGGAACAAAAUACCUAAUAGAAACCCGCAAUGAGGUGCGUACACACCGCCCGUCAUCCCUGUCAACCCAACCAAAAAUUCAUAAACCCCCAUCCAAACUAAAACAGGGCAAGUCGUA